rnacentral:rRNA from 1 species
UACGAAGGGGGCUAGCGUUGUUCGGAAUCACUGGGCGUAAAGCGCACGUAGGCGGAUUUUUAAGUCAGGGGUGAAAUCCCGGGGCUCAACCUCGGAACUGCCUUUGAUACUGGAGAUCUUGAGUCCGGAAGAGGUAAGUGGAACUGCGAGUGUAGAGGUGAAAUUCGUAGAUAUUCGCAAGAACACCAGUGGCGAAGGCGGCUUACUGGUCCGGAACUGACGCUGAGGUGCGAAAGCGUGGGGAGCAAACAGGG